rnacentral:rRNA from 1 species
GAUGAACGCUAGCGGCAGGCUUAACACAUGCAAGUCGAGGGGCAGCGCGGGAUAGCAAUAUCCUGGCGGCGACCGGCGGAAGGGUGCGUAACGCGUGAGCGACAUGCCCGUUGCCCGGGGACAACCGGUGGAAACGCCGACUAAUCCCCGAUGGGAUAUUGUGCCGCAUGGCACGAUAUUGAAAGUUACGGCGGCGACGGAUUGGCUCGCGUCCGCUUUGCUUGUUGGCGGGGUAACGGCACACCGAGGCUGCGAUCGGGAGGGGUUCUGGGAGGAAGGCCCCCCACGAUGGGACUGAGACACGGCCCACUCUCCGACGGGAGGCAGCAGUGACGAAGAUUGGUCAAGGGGCGGAAGCCUGAACCCGCCAUGCCGCGUGCGGGAAGGAGGCCCUCUGGGCUGUGAACCGCUUUUGCCUGGGGGCAAUAAGGGCGUCGCGCACGUCCGAUGAGAGUACCAGGCGAAUAAGCAUCGGCUAACUCCGUG